ensembl:lncRNA
CGGCGGCCUCCCGGGCGCCGCCCGCCCCGGGCUCCGCGCGCCGCGCCGCCGCGAGACGCGGGCGAUGGCGGCGAUCAGGCGCUCCAGGAAGAGGUUGAAGAACAGGAGGGAGCUGGAGCACCCCAGGAGGCCGUAGACGAUCAGGAACACCUUCCCGCCCACUGUCGCUGGCGUGGCCAUCCCAAACCCUGCGGGAGACAGAAAUCGGAGGAGGUCCGCCCACAUCGCUGCCAGUGGCGUUCCUUUUCCGCUCCUCUUCAUGGCUGAGUAAGACACGUGCAUACGCAAGCCGCAUCAUCUCUUCCCGCCAGUUGUUCCAGGAACUUAAAAUCUCUAGAUUCUUUCUCGUUUGGCUGGUUUUAAAACAUUCAGUUUUAUCAAAGAAGGGAUAAUCCAUGACUGUUGAUUACCUACUGAAUUUUCUUGAGCACUGCCCUCUUUUUAAUCAGCAAAAGUAACAGAAGACAGGACAAGUGGUGGUGUUCACAGAAGCCACCGGAGACCGCUUCCCAGUGUUUGCAGUUAGAGGUGUUUCCAUAGCUCGGACUGCUCUCAGAGCUUAAAAGUGUGUCAGCGAAUAAGCAGGCAUUUUCACAGCAAGUCUCCACUCUUUUGAGUCCCCUGUUACUGGGCAUUACCAAUGCCUUGGAUUGGAAAUAAUAAGCCUCAAGGUCCUCCUCGGUGGGGAAACGGGCACAGGCGUUAUCAGAAGCCUGCUCUCUGCCCGGUUCACUGACUCCUCAUCCCCACGCCACUCCCAGCGGUGAAGCCAAGUUAGCACCGAGGGCUGUCUGGUCUCCAGGCCCGCGGCCUCCCGCCUGACUGCAGCGUGGGGAGAGCCCAGGCGCGGCCGCACGCGCUGAAAGUAGAAGCGGAGGGAGACGAGCCGAGCGCCCGCCGCCCCGCGCGCCACACGCACACCCGCGCGAGGGGCUGCCGAAGCCGACACGGUCGGGAGCGGCCGGCGUCGGACGCGGACACCCGCCGUCCUCCCUGACUCAGACGCACAACGGGAGCGCGCGGGUGCCGCUCCCAGCAUGCGACGCCGUCCAGUCGGAGCUAAAACCCCGCUGCACCCCAUGCGUUUGGUCCCCCCGUGUUUCAUACACACCCAUGACGCUGACUGUCAGACGGCGUGCUUUUCAGCAUACCGUUUUGUCCCUGAGCUUCAGGUCUGAGGUCACGGGGCUUGUGUCCAGCCCCCGAGUCUGGGAGCGCAUGGCCCAGCUGAUCGGGGGUCGUGGGCACGGUGUGGUCUGGAGGCCGAGGCAGGGGCUCGCCUGGUGGUCUGCUUCCAUCUGGCCCCCUUGACUAUUCCAGAUCUGCUUCUGAUGUGAUUGCAACCUCAGGGUGGCUCCUGAUCCUGGGUGUGUCCCUGGGGUCAGGAAGGAAGCGGCAGGCCUGGCCAGGGGCCCACCACCCCCAUAGAGCCCCUCACCUGGACCACGAGGACAGAGCAAGACCUGCCACUCCCGGCCCUCGAGCACAUACUGUCUAAAUAUUCUCUUAAAAAAUUAAGGCGAAAAAUAGAAAAGUUUCGCAUUAUGCUUUUCAAAUACACACAAAGGUAGAGAGAACACAAUAAACUCACAGUUCCUGGUUUCAGCAGCUGUCAACAUCUUGCCAAUCAUGUUUUCCCUAUCCCACCCCACCCCCUUUACCUGCUGGAGAUUUUUAAAGUAUUGAUAAACCCGAGACAGCAUGCCAUCUUAUCCAUUAAUAAUGAUGCCUCUGUAACUGACAAGCACUUUAUUUUCCCGAUGUAACCACUACCUCGUUAUCACACCUAAUGAGAUUAACACCAGCUUCUUAACAGGAAAUAAUACCCAGUCCAUAUUCCAGUCUCCAGACUGUACAGAUCACCUGUAGGAAUCAGGAUCCUAACGAGGUCCAUGAAGCGUAUCUUCCACGCCUCUUUCCUUUGUUCAGUCUCCCUUCCCAUUUUUCUUUCUUUAUGCCACUGAGUUGUUGAUCAAAUGUGUCCUGUAGGCUUUCAUCAUAAUUUUUUCUGGAAACAUUUGGGGAAAAAUGUGUAUCAUGAGAGUGCCCUCACAUGCAGUAGCAAAUAGCAAACACUGUGUGGAGGCCUGCAGAUCAGCAUACAUUGUCUAGACAGCAAUCUGAGAAUAUAUAUCAGACAUCUUAGAAGUAUUUAUAUCUUUUUGUUUAUAAUUUUUAAGGACUAUAUCUUCAAAACUAUCAGAAAUGUGACGACUUACGUGUGUACACUGAUGUCACCUGCCUUUACUUUUAACAAUGAGAAUCUUUAGCAACCUGAAUGGCAGAUAAUAGGGCAGCAGCUAAGUAAAAGUAGCCAUUUAGCUGAAGCCACUGGAAUUACAUAUACGCAACAGAACCGGAACACGUAAUGCUAAAAUCUAUAUGAGACCACCAGAGACCGGGAAUUGCCAAAGCGGUCCUGAGGAAAAAGAAAGAAGCAGGAUGCCAAACCCUCCCAGACUUCAGACAAUACUGCAAAGCUCCAGAAAUCGAACAGAGUGGUCCUUGCCCCAAAACAGACACGUGGACCAGCGGGGCAGAACAGAAAGCCAGAAAUAAACCCAAACACAGCUAUGGCCAGUUAAUUUUCGAUAAAUGAGGCCAGAACACACAAUGCAGAGAAUACAGCUUCUUCAGCAAGUGGUGCUGGGACACUCGACUGCUGCGUGUGAACCAGUGAAGUUAGAACAUUCUCACACCACACACAAAACAAACUCAGAACGGCUUAAGAUUCAAAUACGAGACAUGACACCAUAAAGCUCCUAAGAGAGAGAGCAGGCAGACAUUCUCUGACAUAAAUGGUAGCAAUGUUUUCUUAGGUCAGUCUCCCAAGGCAAUAAAAAUAAAAGCAAAAUAAACAAAUGGGACCUCAUCAAAUUGAUAAGCUUUUGCACAGCAAAGGAAACCAUAAACAAAAUGAAACAACCGUCUAUAGUCUAAGAGGAAAUAUCACAAAUGAUGUGACCGACAGGGGCUUAGUUUCCAAGAUAUACAAACAGCUCAUACAAUUCAAUAAUAAAAAAACAACCCAGUUGAAACAUGGGCAGAAGAAAUAAGUAGACAUUCCUCCAAAGAAAACAUACAGAUGGCCAACAGACUCGGGAAAACAGCACGGAGGUUCCUCAGGAAACUGAAAACGGAGCUGGCGUGUGGCCCAGCAGGCCCACUCCUGGGCAAGUCUCUGGGCUAACUGUGGUCUGGAAAGGUGCCUGCACGCCUGAGUUCACGGCAGCACUGUCCACAGUUCACAACCUAAACGUCCCUCAACGGAUGAGUGGGUAAAGAAGAUGGGCCCAUAUGAACAGUAGAAAACUAGUCAGCCGUCCAAACAAUGAAAUAAUGUUACCUGCAGCAACGUGGAUAGACCCAGAGAUGAUCAUACCGAGGGGAGAAAAUCAGGAAGAGAAACUCAAAUAGCAUGCGACAUCACUCAUGUGUGAAACCUGAAGCAUGACGCCAGCGAGUUCACCUGUGAAAGCAGCAGGGAACAGACCCAUAGGGAACAGACUCGUAGGGAACAGACUCGUAGGGAACAGACUCGUAGGGAACAGGCCCGUAGGGAGCAGACUCAUAGGGAACAGGCCCAUAGGGAACAGACUCGUAGGGAACAGACUCGUAGGGAACAGGCCCGUAGGGAACAGACUCGUAGGGAACAGGCUCGUAGGGAACAGGCCCGUAGGGAACAGACUCGUAGGGAACAGGCUCGUAGGGAACAGGCCCGUAGGGAACAGACUCGUAGGGAACAGACUCAUAGGGAACAGGCCCGUAGGGAACAGACUCGUAGGGAACAGGCUCGUAGGGAACAGGCCUGUAGGGAACAGACUCGUAGGGAACAGACUCAUAGGGAACAGGCCCGUAAGGAACAGGCCCGUAGGGAACAGACUCGUAGGGAACAGACUCAUAGGGAACAGGCCCGUAAGGAACAGGCCCAUAGGGAACAGACUCGUAGGGAACAGGCUCGUAGGGAACAGGCCCGUAGGGAACAGACUCGUAGGGAACAGACUGGGGGUUGUCAAGGGGGAGGGGGUGCGGGAGGGAUGCAGUGAGUGUGGGUCAGCAGACGCCAAGUGGUGUACGCAGAAUGGGGCAACAAGGGUCCUACCGCACAGCUCAGGAGACUGCUCGGCACCCUGAAAUAGACCAUAGUGGAAAAUACGAAGAGAAUACACACCCACACACGUGUAACUGAGUCGCUACGCUACGCUACGCAGCCGAAACCAACACAUCACAAACAACUGCCCUUCAAUAAAAUGAAAUUUAAAAUAUACAUAGGAUAUAGACAUACAUUAUGUACAAAAUGAGCUAGAAGGAUACAUACGUAGGGAAUACAGGCAAUAUUCUACGGUAGCUAUAAUGGAGUCUAGCCUAUAAAAAUUGAGAAUCACUGUACUGUACACCUGUAACUUAUAUUGUGUAUCGACUAUACCUCAAUUUAAAAAUUACAUGGACUGAUUCGUGUUGAGGUUUGACAGAAAACAACAAAAUUCUGUAAAGCUAUUAUCCUUCAAUUAAAAAGUAAAUAAAUUUUUAAAAAUUACACAUGCAAAGAAUUUGUAACGACUAGAGAAAAUGUUAUAUGGAAAAAAGCAGAGCCAAGAUGUGUCUACAGAAAGACUCUAGUCUGGCUCGUCUUCAUUGAUCAUUUGUUGGAUGAGAGAAUAAACUUCACAAAGUGUAUUUAUACAGUUCUGUAUAUUGAGGCAGUUAAGGUGGUUUUGGAUGCCAGUAACAACUAUUGUAAAUAAGGGUGGCUUAAACACAAAGGGGAUGCAUCAUCUCAUAGAACAGGAUGUUUGGAGGCAGGGCGGCUCCAGGAACAGUUGAUUAGGUGGCUUUGGAACAAGAUCUAUGAGCCACGAUCACCUCGCCUUUUCUGACGUUGGCUCCAUCAGCGUGUCGGCCAGCCUCCCACGCCAGCAGCUUCAAGAAGGACCCCCUCACACACCCGAGUCCAGAGUCGGCGCGUGUUUUGUUCCUACCCUGCUUACAUCGUUAUCAGAGCACAGAAGGCUUUCCAGAAGCCCCCCGGCAAAGUUUCCAUCAUAUGCCAUUAAGCAGCAACAAGCCACAAGCCCGCUUCUCAAGCUAGUCGCCUGCAGGAGUGGGUUUCUUCUCAGACUGGUUGUCGUUUACCAGCGCCCCCGAAAAAGAGGUGGGCCCAGAACCAACAACGUCUGCCAGUACAGAGAAGGAGACAAACAGAGAGACAAAGGCUCAAUCAGGUCGUUUUAGGGUGGUGACAGCGUGGGUGAUGUAACUGUUUCUUAAUGUCUUGUAUCUUUCAUCACCUUUUAAAAGCGUACAGUAGCCAGUGUGGUAGGCCAUGGGUUUGUUUUUUUUUAAAAAAAAAUCUUUACUUUUAAACUGAGAAAACUAUGUUAAAAUAUUUUGAAAAUAUUCUGGGACAUUUCUUCAGAUUGCAUGUAAACACCUGCCCGGAAGAAGUAUUCCUCUUGGUUUAUCUCAUUACACUAAUAAAUCAAACUUUGACUUG